rnacentral:rRNA from 1 species
GCUAGCUACAGGCUUAACACAUGCAAGUCGAGGGGCAUCAGGAAGAAAGCUUGCUUUCUUUGCUGGCGACCGGCGCACGGGUGAGUAACACGUAUCCAACCUGCCCUUUACUCGGGGAUAGCCUUUCGAAAGAAAGAUUAAUACCCGAUGGCAUAAUGAUUCCGCAUGGUUUCAUUAUUAAAGGAUUCCGGUAAAGGAUGGGGAUGCGUUCCAUUAGGUUGUUGGUGAGGUAACGGCUCACCAAGCCUUCGAUGGAUAGGGGUUCUGAGAGGAAGGUCCCCCACAUUGGAACUGAGACACGGUCCAAACUCCUACGGGAGGCAGCAGUGAGGAAUAUUGGUCAAUGGGCGCUAGCCUGAACCAGCCAAGUAGCGUGAAGGAUGAAGGCUCUAUGGGUCGUAAACUUCUUUUAUAUAAGAAUAAAGUGCAGUAUGUAUACUGUUUUGUAUGUAUUAUAUGAAUAAGGAUCGGCUAACUCCGUGCCAGCAGCCGCGGUAAUACGGAGGAUCCGAGCGUUAUCCGGAUUUAUUGGGUUUAAAGGGAGCGUAGGUGGACUGGUAAGUCAGUUGUGAAAGUUUGCGGCUCAACCGUAAAAUUGCAGUUGAUACUGUCAGUCUUGAGUACAGUAGAGGUGGGCGGAAUUCGUGGUGUAGCGGUGAAAUGCUUAGAUAUCACGAAGAACUCCGAUUGCGAAGGCAGCUCACUGGACUGCAACUGACACUGAUGCUCGAAAGUGUGGGUAUCAAACAGGAUUAGAUACCCUGGUAGUCCACACAGUAAACGAUGAAUACUCGCUGUUUGCGAUAUACAGUAAGCGGCCAAGCGAAAGCAUUAAGUAUUCCACCUGGGGAGUACGCCGGCAACGGUGAAACUCAAAGGAAUUGACGGGGGCCCGCACAAGCGGAGGAACAUGUGGUUUAAUUCGAUGAUACGCGAGGAACCUUACCCGGGCUUAAAUUGCAGUGGAAUGAUGUGGAAACAUGUCAGUGAGCAAUCACCGCUGUGAAGGUGCUGCAUGGUUGUCGUCAGCUCGUGCCGUGAGGUGUCGGCUUAAGUGCCAUAACGAGCGCAACCCUUAUCUUUAGUUACUAACAGGUUAUGCUGAGGACUCUAGAGAGACUGCCGUCGUAAGAUGUGAGGAAGGUGGGGAUGACGUCAAAUCAGCACGGCCCUUACGUCCGGGGCUACACACGUGUUACAAUGGGGGGUACAGAAGGCAGCUAGCGGGUGACCGUAUGCUAAUCCCAAAAGCCUCUCUCAGUUCGGAUCGAAGUCUGCAACCCGACUUCGUGAAGCUGGAUUCGCUAGUAAUCGCGCAUCAGCCACGGCGCGGUGAAUACGUUCCCGGGCCUUGUACACACCGCCCGUCAAGCCAUGGGAGCCGGGGGUACCUGAAGUACGUAACCGCAAGGAUCGUCCUAGGGUAAAACUGGA